rnacentral:rRNA from 1 species
AACCUCCGCAAUGUGAGAAAUCGCGACGGGGGGAUCCCAAGUGCCAUUCUUAACGGGAUGGCUUUUCAUUAGUGUAAAGAGCUUUUGGAAUAAGAGCUGGGCAAGACCGGUGCCAGCCGCCGCGGUAACACCGGCAGCUCUAGUGGUAACAAUUUUUAUUGGGCCUAAAGCGUCCGUAGCCGGUUUAAUAAGUCUCUGGUGAAAUCCUGUAGCUUAACUGUGGGAAUUGCUGGAGAUACUAUUAGACUUGAGACCGGGAGAGGUUAGAGGUACUCCCAGGGUAGAGGUGAAAUUCUGUAAUCCUGGGAGGACCGCCUGUUGCGAAGGCGUCUAACUGGAACGGUUCUGACGGUGAGGGACGAAAGUUAGGGGCGCGAACCGGAUUAGAUACCCGGGUAGUCCUAACUGUAAACGAUGCGGACUUGGUGUUGGGGUGGCUUUGAGCUGCUCCAGUGCCGAAGGGAAGCUGUUAAGUCCGCCGCCUGGGGAGUACGGUCGCAAGACUGAAACUUAAAGGAAUU